ACAACCAUGAGCACUGUGGACAAGGGAGGACAACUCAUACAUCAGUGAGAAGUUUUGCUGGUGAGAUGUGAAGGAAAACUGCAGCAGUUUCUGUGCAGAACAUCAAGACGUGAUCUGGAUCGUUACACACAGAAUCCAGCUGGAAAGGAUCAAAGGAAAAGGGCCUAUUUUGAGGUUUACAUCUACUAAUUGCUCUGAACAAAUGAGCAGUGCAUCUGAGAAGUAAUCUUUUUUCAGGUUUCCAUCUGGUAAAAGACUUGUAGGUGCCAUAACUUCGGAAUAAUUUCAAGGCUGUACUUUUCAUUGAAGACUCCAAAGCUGGAGUCAACUGAACAUAUUUGAAGUCUGUACUUUUAUACCAAGGAAAGAAAGGAGGAAACUGAAAGAAUGAAACAAGGAAUGAAGGAAAAAAUGAAGGAAAAGAAAAUAAAAAGAAGGAAGGGAAGAUUAAAAGGGCCUGACUCAAAGAGAUGUUUCCUUUUUAUGACCUGUGAAG